CGGACGGGUGAGUAACGCGUGGAAAACCUGCCGUAUACUGGGGGAUAACACUUAGAAUAGGUGCUAAUACCGCAUAAGCGCACAGCUUCGCAUGAAGCGGUGUGAAAAACUCUGGUGGUAUACGAUGGUUCCGCGUCUGAUUAGCUAGUUGGUGGGGUAAUGGCCUACCAAGGCAACGAUCAGUAGCCGGCCUGAGAGGGUGAACGGCCACAUUGGGACUGAGACACGGCCCAAACUCCUACGGAAGGCAGCAG
rnacentral:rRNA from 1 species